rnacentral:sRNA from 1 species
GAAGUGAAAAGGGAAAGUGUGGCUGUAAACCUCUCUAAAGUUUCCAAACAGGGAAUCCAGGCAAUAUUGGAUCUUAAACAUGGGUCAUAGGAUCUGGCGCUUUUAUCCCUAAAAUUUUUGGAGGAAAAUAAUGAGAUAUUUUAAGUUUCUUCUUUUCUUACUUCCAAACUACAGUACGUGGGCAACAGUGACAAGGAGAGGAAGGGAGGAGAGACUCAACCAACUAGAGCAGGGAUAAGGUUUCCCUUGUUCAGCUUUUCAGUGUCUGCUGGAAUGUGAUGAUUACCUCAUUGUCAGGUAGGAAGUGAAACGUACGAUAUUCUUCCUGGCCUUUGCCUUGAGAGUCUUCUGGAGCCUGAAGAGGGUGGGGCAGACAACCAUGGACUGCUAGAGAAUAAACUUUUUUUGAAGCUUCCUAAAUGGAUUAGAAAGAAGGGGUUCUGUCAAAGGGAAAGGGUCUAUACAGAUGUGACCAGCAGUUUGAUUAGUUUAGAUGUAUGAUUUAGUAGCCAAUAUAAGAAACUUGUAAUUUUUAGUAAUUAGAAUUUAUUAUAAAUAAUAAAACAGGGUAUUAAUUAUUAA